AACGAACGCUGGCGGCAGGCCUAACACAUGCAAGUCGAGCGAGGACUUCGGUUCUAGCGGCGGACGGGUGAGUAACGCGUGGGAAUGUGCCCUUCUCUACGGAAUAGCCCUGGGAAACUGGGAGUAAUACCGUAUACGCCCUAUUGGGGAAAGAUUUAUCGGAGAAGGAUCAGCCCGCGUUGGAUUAGGUAGUUGGUGGGGUAAUGGCCUACCAAGCCGACAAUCCAUAGCUGGUUUGAGAGGAUGAUCAGCCACACUGGGACUGAGACACGGCCCAGACUCCUACGGGAGGCAGCAGUGGGGAAUCUUAGACAAUGGGGGCAACCCUGAUCUAGCCACGCCGCGUGAGUGAUGAAGGCCUUAGGGUUGUAAAGCUCUUUCAGCUGGGAAGAUAAUGACGGUACCAGCAGAAGAAGCCCCGGCUAACUCCGUG
rnacentral:rRNA from 1 species